UAGGGAAUCUUCCACAAUGGACGCAAGUCUGAUGGAGCAACGCCGCGUGAGUGAAGAAGGUUUUCGGAUCGUAAAGCUCUGUUGUAAGAGAAGAACGUGUGUGAGAGUGGAAAGUUCACACAGUGACGGUAACUUACCAGAAAGGGACGGCUAACUACGUGACAG
rnacentral:rRNA from 1 species